rnacentral:rRNA from 1 species
UACGUAGGGGGCAAGCGUUGUCCGGAAUUAUUGGGCGUAAAGCGCGCGCAGGCGGUUGUUUAAGUCUUAUGUUUAAACCCAGGGCUCAACCUUGGGGCGCAUGGGAAACUGGGCAGCUUGAGUGUAGGAGAGGAAAGUGGAAUUCCACGUGUAGCGGUGAAAUGCGUAGAGAUGUGGAGGAACACCAGUGGCGAAGGCGACUUUCUGGCCUAUAACUGACGCUGAGGCGCGAAAGCGUGGGGAGCAAACAGG